GGCAUAGGAGGCCACUUCCUGGGGUGCACACAGGAUGUUUAUAAACACAUUGAAUACACGUGGUUUUGAGGGUAUUCCUGUUUGCGGAUGGAGAAAAUCAGAAAAUGCCGUGAACUAUUUCUUUCGGGGCAUAGGAGGCCACUUCCUGGGGUGCACACAGGAUGUUUAUAAACACAUUGAAUACACGUGGUUUUGAGGGUAUUCCUGUUUGCGGAUGGAGAAAAUCAGAAAAUGCCGUGAACUAUUUCUUUCGGGGCAUAGGAGGCCACUUCCUGGGGUGCACACAGGAUGUUUAUAAACACAUUGAAUACACGUGGUUUUGAGGGUAUUCCUGUUUGCGGAUGGAGAAAAUCAGAAAAUGCCGUGAACUAUUUCUUUCGGGGCAUAGGAGGCCACUUCCUGGGGUGCACACAGGAUGUUUAUAAACACAUUGAAUACACGUGGUUUUGAGGGUAUUCCUGUUUGCGGAUGGAGAAAAUCAGAAAAUGCCGUGAACUAUUUCUUUCGGGGCAUAGGAGGCCACUUCCUGGGGUGCACACAGGAUGUUUAUAAACACAUUGAAUACACGUGGUUUUGAGGGUAUUCCUGUUUGCGGAUGGAGAAAAUCAGAAA